rnacentral:lncRNA from 1 species
ACCCAUAGUCCCUUCUUCUUCCACUUAUUACACAAGACAUAAAGAAAAACCCUAGCAGCUUCUUCAACCUUAGACACUACAACAUUGAUCAAGACAAGAGACUUCUUCAACCUUAAACUUUAGAACACAACCAUGGCUGCCCAACACAAACCCUAGACUCCAUAACCACUAAGCUCACCUGAACCUUCAUAGCCGCCACCCUCAAGCCAGUCACCUUCUCUACAACCGCUGUUGCCGCCUGAACUCCACCGGAAAUUAUCGUCUAUCACCACCCUUCAGCCUCUACUUCUUUUUCAACCCACGUACAACAAAAAUCCGAUCAGAUUUCUUCUUCUUUUUUUGGAUGGAAAACUGACCUAAAAACCUAGAUCUAUAAGAGACGAGCCACAAUACUUGAAAACGUCCGUGGCUGCUUGUUUCUUCUUCUUCAACUAGACAUCCAGCAGCUCGCCGGAAACCAGCCCCUCUGUCAUUGUUUCUCAUCCUUAACCGUGACCCCAGCACUACAACGACCAUCAGACCAACCUCAAAAACGACCCCAUGCCCUGAACGACCACACAUCCGCCUCAUCCUCUUCCUCAUUCACCGGAAAAUACAGCAGUCCAUCAUGCAUACGCCGAAAAACGAACUUCAAGGAUGCCUAAACCAGAACAACCAAAAAUAUAAAUUCAUUUUCUGCUUUCUUAAAUUUGAAAAAAUGUAUUUUAGUUCCUAAUUUUGAUCUUCUCUCGUGGAGUUUUUUUACAUUUGAGAUGGGUUUCUGAUUGAACAUUGUUUGGUUUUGAGUGAGUACGUCGUUUGGAGAUUUCCAUUGCCAAAUCGAGUUUACCGGUCGAGUUCGAGUUUCCGUCCGCGAUUCGUUAUAUUUUUAGUUCAAAGACAUAACUAAUUUUUAGUUAUAUCGAGG